UGGAUAGAUUCGGUGCAAAAUUGAAAGAGUUUUGGAUUUCUAAAACUCUAUCUCAUAGAAUUCAAAAUCCAAACUUAUUCCUUUUUGAUUUGAUCCAAACCUCCUUCCAUGUAAGAAAGAAGAGAGGAGACCUUUUGUGAACGUGGGAGAGACCUGGGAGAGGGCUUUUGUCGCACAAAAUAAGAAGAGAUUGGCGUUGAAUGAGAGAGAG
rnacentral:lncRNA from 1 species